UCUCUCCCUCUUUCUCGCUGUCUUCCUCACGCAACCCUUGCUCUCUCUCCACCUCUCUCUCCCUCUCUCUCUCCCUCUCUCUCUCACUCUCUCUCACUCUCUCUCUCUCACUCGGUUGUGUCUGGAACAAAAACGAUAGGGGACGUACAUUUUGAGAGGCGCAGAGAAUAGGCGAUCACGCAGAGUAGGAACAAAAGCCGUCUGUUAUGAAAGGACCAACGAGUGAAGCUGCAGUGUUUGGGUUUCUGGCCACGUUCGCCGAUACCGCGUGAGUGGAGGGGAGAAACAACAGAUUCCAAUCGCUCUCUCGUGGUCUAGGCUGGGGAGAAUACUGCGUGUGACUCCAUUUAGUACAAUAACCUUAUUUAUCUCUCUUGCCAUUCAAGCACAAGUCAUAUUUUUUGGGAACAUUUUAGUAUGAUAAACUUCAUUGAUUAAUUUGAUGAGCAAUAUAAACUUUUGAAAUAUCUUUAAAAUUAACCAAAAAGGAUAUCUGGUACUAUUUUGGAUGAUAAAUAUGCCCAUUGAAGAAGAAAAAGUGAUUGUACAUACUGGAAGGUGCACCUGUCAGAAAACAAAAUGGCAUCUCAUGUUACCUUGAGGUCUCAGAUACCAGGGACUGGGAGGAGGAGGGCCCAGGUCAAACCUACAAGGAUCAACCACCAAUUUACAGAUGGAGGAUGAAAAAAAGAAAGAGAGUGGGUGGAUGGAGUGAAGGAUGAAGGCUGAGUAGACAACUGAACAGAGACAGGCCCUAUGCGGCAGUUCAUUCGUUCAUCGCCAUGGGCUCUUGUCCUCCUCUCUCCUCCCCUGGUCUAUACUCCCAUCACAGGGUCGUUUGGAGUGUGUGAGGCCCAAAAACAGAGCUUGUGAGUGGGCUGGCGAUGCAGGAAGAAGUCCCUGCUGGUUACCAGCACCUCUGGAGCUGACGGCAAAAUAAAUCAAUAUGGAGAAGAGAAUGUUACCCCACAGCCUAGAGGCCUGAAGACCUCCAGAGGAGAGGCCCAUCGCAACCUUGCUCAGCCCCAGCCAAAGUUCCUGAGACUGGGCCUGGGUCCCUACCCGCUCUUGACGAAGGAAGGCGCUGGAUUGGACCAACCGGAUCACAAGACCUUGUGGAGCGCUCCCAUUGGUUCACCUAAGAAAAGAGCGGUAAAAAUACUCCUUUGACUUCAAGCUUUCUAUGAAGAUUCAUGGAAUGUUGCAUAACAUGGACAUCUAAAACGGGACAAAAUCACAAUACAGAAAUUGCCUCUUCAAUAUUGCUAUUUAAUCUUUAUGUACACUCACCUCCGUUUAUCAUAGCUGACUGUUGCUUUCUGUUCUCUGAAACCAUUCUAUUUUUUUUUUUUUGCAAUGAUCACAUAUAAUUAGUUUAGUUUUUUGAAGAUUUUUUUCUGAAAAAAAUCAGUGUGUAAGUAUAAUAUCUAAUUGAUGCCGAGUACAGUAAUAAUAGAACAGAGAAAUAUAUCAAUAAAACUGCUUUGUUUUCUGAAAGCAUUUUGAAUCUUUUUUUUAUAUAUAUGUCAAAUAAUGUUUUGACUCGUGGCUUUAGUUAAUUAUCACCUCCAAAGAGGUAUCUUUGUAAUUUAGCAAAGAAAACCACCCCUGUUUUGAAUUCAAAUUCCACUUCACAUAUCACAUGCAAUAGAAUAAAUAUAGUAAUCAGAGACUUUAACACCCAGUAGAACCCAGCUUCAUAAAUGAAUACAGAAUCUCAAUGGAUGAAAGGAAUAGUCAAAUCUCUUUGGAGCUGACUCUGCCAGUCCAGCAGGCAUUGCUGGCAUUACCCAAUCCCAGUGGUGUAAAGUACUUUAGUAAAAAAUACUUUAAAGCACUACUUAAGUAGUUUUUUGGGGUACCUGUACAUUACUUUACAUUUUUUGACAACUCUGACUUUUACUCCACUACAUUCCUAAAGAAAAUAAUGUACUUUUUACUCCUGACAUUUUCCCUGACACACAAAAGUACUCCUUACAUGUUUAAUGCUUAGCAGGACAGGAAAUUAUCAAGAGAACAUCCCUGGCCACCCCUACUGCCUCUGAUCUGGCAGACUCACUAAACACAAAUGCUUCGUUUGUAAAUUAUGUCUGACUGUUGAAGUGUGCCCUUGGCUAUCUGUACAUUUAAAAAAUAAGAAAAUCGUGCCGUAUGGGUUGCAUAAUAUACGGAAUCUAAAAUGAUUUAUACUUUUACUUUUGAUACUUAAGUAUAUUUUAGCGAUUACAUUUACUGUUGACACUUGAGUAUAUUUAUAACCAAGUGCUUCUUAGACUUUUACUCAAGUAGUAUUUUACCCCGUGACUUUCACUCUAUAACUUGAGUCAUUUUCUAUUAAGGCAUCUUUACUUUUGGGUACUUUUUGGGUACUUUUUCCACCACUGCCCAGUGGAUUCAAGAACUCGUUAAUUUAAAGCUAUAAAGAUGUUAUUACUGUGAAGCCUGCCUGGUUUUUCAUACUGUAUGUAGGCUACUAUAUGGAGAUAAGGAGUUAAAAAUCAAUGGCAAUUCAAGGAUUUAAAUUUGCGAUUGGUGUGACAGGCCUAUUCGUUUUGGAAAGUGUAAAGUCCUAUUUAAUUUUUGGUUUAAAAGUGUAGACCUAGGCUGUACGCUACAGGUUAUACGCCAACAUUGUAGGCAUAGACAAGGCACACAAAAGCCAUGUAGACAUUGGUGUAAAUUGCUGAGGUAUAAUAAGAAGGUGUAAAUUACUGAGGUAUAAUAAGAAGGUGUAAAUUACUGAGGUAUAAUAAGAAGGUGUAAAUUACUGAGGUAUAAUAAGAAGGUGUAAAUUGCUGAGGUAUAAUAAGGUGUAAAUUACUGAGGUAUAAUAAGGUGUAAAUUACUGAGGUAUAAUAAGGUGUAAAUUACUGAGGUAUAAGAAGGUGUAAAUUACUGAGGUAUAAUAAGGUGUAAAUUACUGAGGUAUAAUAAGAAGGUGUAAAUUGCUGAGGUAUAAUAAGGUGUAAAUUACUGAGGUAUAAUAAGAAGGUGUAAAUUGCUGAGGUAUAAUAAGAAGGUGUAAAUUACUGAGGUAUAAGAAGGUGUAAAUUACUGAGGUAUAAUAAGGUGUAAAUUACUGAGGUAUAAGAAGGUGUAAAUUACUGAGGUAUAAGAAGGUGUAAAUGGAGCGUUUUUUGAUUAUUAUGCCAUCUAAAUAAUCUGUAAAAUCUGUAGAAAAUAUUCAUACAAUGUUCUAACAAUUGUAGAAGUUGUUAUAACCCCUUGAUGUUAACAACGCCAAUCAUCCUAAAACUGGAGUUAAUAAUUGUGUAGGCUAAUAACAAAGUUUAGCCUAAUGUAACAUUAACUUUUUGUUCACCCUAAAUAUUUUUAUCUUUGAUUGAUUAUCUAAACAGGAAAGUAUAUAAAAAAUGAAUACAGGUUGCAGUUUGAAUGUUUUUUUAAGCUCUUGAAAAUGUUUAGACAUCGAAGUUUUAUUUUAAACAGUGCUGAAUAUAUAUUUUUUUAUAGGCUGGCUAUAUUAUGCUCCCAUAAAGGAUCACACGCAUUUUAACAUUGUCAUAAUUUUUCAUAUUAUUCAGCAAGAAAAUUUCAUAUGCAACAUAUAUCUAAAUAAUCAAUACAAUUGCAGCAAAUAAAACAAAACGUUUUUCUUUAUCGAAUACGUUUAUUAAAAACGAUAAAUGAUUUUAAAUGCUAAGGAGAAAUAUCUGAGAGUAUAUAGUUAUUGUCUAAAUAACUAAAUAAAUGUCUAUGGGAGCAAGAAACAGAAAGCCAAAUUUAAGGGAUUUUUUUGAUACCUUGACGUUUAUUGAAAGCACAUAAUUCAUAUGCCAAACUCCUAUGUAGUUCUCUAGCCACUAAUAAUAGUGUGUGCUGACCAUACACAUCCUCAUACUGUACAUGCAUAUAUCCUCCUCUCUACUGUUUGUCCAACGCAAACAUCCAUCUAAUACAUUAGCCCCAUCAUUAUAAGGUCAACACCAAAUACAGAGCUUUCCCACCUCAAUACGUGGGGCGGCAGGGUAGCCUAGUGGUUAGAGCGUUGGGCUAGUAACCCAAAGGUUGCAAGUUCGAAUACCCGAGCUGACAAGGUACAAAUCUGUCGUUCUGCCCCUGAACAGGCAGUUAACCCACUGUUCCUUGGCCGUCAUUGAAAAUAAGAAUUUGUUCUUAACUGACUUGCCUAGUAUUUUAAAGGUAAAAAAUACAAACCAGUGUGGCCAAUUACAUCUGGCUGCUAAAGGAAGCCUGUUGACAUUUUUUUUGUAAAUUAAAGUAAUUGAAUAGCCUAAAAAUGUUGCCCUCAGAAACACAAGUAUAUCAAAUAAAAAAUAUUUAAAAACGUACUGCGCAUAAUAACAUUUUCACAUUUUGCUUGGAUGUCUUAUGAUAUAAAAAUGAAAGAUGAAAAUGCUCUUCGUUUUAAUUGAAUAAUUAAACAUUUACUUUACCUUGAUAUAUAGAAAACACUGAUUUAUUUCCAUGUUUUUAUCCCAUUCGACCUGGUCUCUCCCACUGGUGGAA